rnacentral:rRNA from 1 species
GACGAAUGCUGGCGGCGUGCCUAAUACAUGCAAGUCGAGCGCAGGAAAUCGGCGGAACCCUUCGGGGGGAAGUCGACGGAAUGAGCGGCGGACGGGUGAGUAACACGUAAAGAACCUGCCCUCAGGUCUGGGAUAACCACGAGAAAUCGGGGCUAAUACCGGAUGGGUCAUCGGACCGCAUGGUCCGAGGAUGAAAGGCGCUCCGGCGUCGCCUGGGGAUGGCUUUGCGGUGCAUUAGCUAGUUGGUGGGGUAAUGGCCCACCAAGGCGACGAUGCAUAGCCGACCUGAGAGGGUGAUCGGCCACACUGGGACUGAGACACGGCCCAGACUCCUACGGGAGGCAGCAGUAGGGAAUCUUCCACAAUGGACGAAAGUCUGAUGGAGCAACGCCGCGUGAACGAUGAAGGCCUUCGGGUCGUAAAGUUCUGUUGUAAGGGAAGAACAAGUGCCGCAGGCAAUGGCGGCACCUUGACGGUACCUUGCGAGAAAGCCACGGCUAACUACGUGCCAGCCGCCGCCGUAAGAC